rnacentral:tRNA from 1 species
UAGCUCAGUUGGUAAAGAAUCUGCCUCCAAUGCAGGAGACCCAGGUUCAAUUCCUGG